rnacentral:rRNA from 1 species
UUUUGGCCUAUUGACGCGCAAAGAAUUCUAAACAUUCCCUUAGCUAUGGGGAUGAUGGAGGAUUUUGUUUCAUGGCACUACGAAAGAAGUGGAAUUUUUUCAGUCAAAACGGCUUAUCAUAUGGAGUGGGAUUACCAACAUGGACGAAAGUUGAGGCAAAUAAACUUGAUGUUGUCCUCAAGUACUAGUCUAGUUUGUAGGAUUCUUUGGAGACUUCGAGUGCCGGCCAAAGUUAAGAUUCACGUAUGGAGGGCGCUAUAUGGUGUAAUUCCUUGCCGUGGCAUCCUUGCGAACAGACACAUGAUUACCAGUUCGCAAUGCCCACUUUGCAUGCUCUACAGAUUGUGAAAGUAUACAUCACGCCUUUUUAAAUGCCCGCGUGUCCAACUCAUAUGGGAAAAAUUGGAUAUGGCUGACACAUUUUUUGAGUUGUGCAAUACUGAGAGGGAAGGUGCUUCGGUCCUUGGUGACCUGUUGCUAAUGUCGUGCACCAAUAUUCCAUCACUACCUAAUGUUAACAGGAAGGAUUUGAUAGCAGUGGCUGUGUGGUACAUAUGGUGGGAAAGGAGGAGAUUUACUCAUGGGGAAAUGUUACAAUAA